CUUCCGGCCCGCGGGGUCCCGGCCUAGUAUCCGGCGGCUGGAUGGUGGAUGAGGCUGGUGAGACUCAUGAAGGUGUUCGUCACGCGCAGAAUCCCCGCCGAGGGUAGCGUCGCGCUCGCCCAGGCCUCAGACUGUGAGGUGGAGCAGUGGGAUUCCGAUGAGCCCAUCCCCAGCAAGGACCUGGAACGGGGCGUGGCCGGGGCCCAUGGCCUGCUCUGCCUCCUCUCCGACCGCAUAGACAAGAAGCUUCUGGAUGCCGCAGGACCCAAUCUCAAAGUCAUUAGCACACUGUCUGCGGGUGUCGACCACUUGGCUUUGGAUGAAAUCAAGAAGCGUGGGAUCCGUGUGGGCUACACCCCAGAUGUCCUGACAGACACCACGGCUGAACUCGCUGUCUCCCUACUGCUCACCACUUGUCGCCGCUUGCCGGAGGCCAUUGAGGAGGUGAAGAAUGGCGGCUGGACCACCUGGAAGCCCCUGUGGAUGUGUGGCUGUGGCCUCACGCAAAGCACCGUCGGCAUCAUCGGGCUGGGGCGCAUAGGCAAGGCUGUUGCUCGGCGUCUGAAACCAUUCGGCGUCCAGAGAUUUCUAUAUGCAGGGCGCCAGCCCAGGCCUCAGGAAGCAGAGGAAUUCCAGGCAGAGUUUGUGUCCACCCUCCAGCUGGCUGCCGAAUCUGAUUUCAUUAUCGUGACCUGCUCCUUAACACCUGCAACCAAGGGGCUCUGCAACAAGGACUUCUUCCAGCGGAUGAAGAAAACGGCCGUGUUUGUCAAUGUCAGCAGGGGAGAAGUGGUGAACCAGGACGACCUGUACCAGGCCCUGGCCAGCGGUCAGGUUGCAGCUGCUGGACUGGAUGUGACGACCCCAGAACCACUGCCUACAAACCACCCUCUCCUGACCCUGAAGAACUGUGUGAUCCUGCCCCACAUUGGCAGUGCCACCCACAGAACCCGAAACACCAUGUCCUUGUUGGCAGCUAACAACCUGCUGGCUGGCCUGAGAGGGGAGCCGAUGCCCAGUGAACUCAAGCUGUAGCCACACGGGAGACACCAAGGGCCAGGAGGCCAAUGGCCCGGGAUUGUGUCAGACGCAGCCAGGCUUGAUUUGGACCUACAAGAUGGGAGCCAAAGAAAAGUCUGAUCUGUACAGAUUCCACGGAGGGGAGACUGGUGCUGAUAGAUGUGCUUGCCACUUUUGUGGUUGGAAACAUCUGAGCCCAAAAUCAGGGCCUCUGGUGACCUGCGGGUUCUGCUUCCCACCCGUCCUCACCCCCAGCGUUUUAAUUAUUAGAACCUAUCCGAACCACCUGACCCUUGUCCUCUGCUAAAAUGCCUUCAAGUGUCCCUCACUGAAGAUGGAACAACCGUAGCCCAGAGCAGUUGGAUCUGCUUCCUAAACUGUUGGGCAAAUUAAAUACACAUGGCGAAGUGAACUAGGUAAGGUCACGGUACUCAUAUUUUGGUCAAGCAUAAUCAAGGUAGGUGCAUCUCUCUUAAUUUUUGUUUUAAAAUUAGUUUCAGAACCUUUACACUUGGCUCCCCAUGUCCCUCCCCUCCUCCACCCCCACCCCCCAGGUGGACACCCUUUUCUAAUCACCUCACUUCUCCCAAGGCCAGGCCACCAGCUCUGCCGAAGGACUCAGGGUCCAGCUCUUCCCCAUGGCCAGACCGAACUGGAGAGUGGAGUUUUCAACCUGGGAGGCAGGUAAGGGAGCACCAGAAAACACACGAAUUCAACAGGCCCUCGGGGAGUAAAACCGGGUGGACUGGGAGCACCACCUCACACUCGUCUGCAGCUCAGAGACAGACAGCGCAGGGACAGCAGAAGGGAUGAACGGAGGGGAACGACCGAUAAUUGUUACUGACAGCAUGACAGUAUUUUCUAGGAAGCUUGGUUUAAAAAAUAACUAGUCGAAGCAGGGUUAGCAGAGAAAGCAAUACCACUUCACUUUUUUGUUUCAACUUUAAUAACCUAAGGCAAAGAAAAGAACACAAUUAGUUAGAGGCAUGAAUAUGACAAAUUUUUUAUUUCAAAGUCUCAAACUUUGACCAGCAUAGCACCACUGAUAAUGGGUGCCCUGACAGAACUUUAUGAUUUGGUCACCAGAAACAAUUAUGCCAAGCUAUAAUUAAGGCUAACCAAUCAAAAUCCAGGUACCCAAUACUAGUUAUAAUUCAGAUAGAAACUACCGGUCAUAGGAACCCUGGGACUGGGUUUUCCAGGGAACCUCUGAAUUAUUUUGUAAGUGCUACAGUGUGUACAAGGACACUGGCCCACAAGCUUGCUUCUCACACACAGAAACUGAUUGAUUGACUAAGAGGUAGAUGAGCAAUUCCAGAUUCCACCUAGCAGUGGAGAGGCAGGGUUCCAGCUGCUGUAGCAGAGAUGGGCCCCGAAGCAAAGGCCACUUACGCCGGAGCUCCGGUGAGGGGACAGCUUCCUGGUGGAAGGGAAGGAGGGCUGCCGCUGCCCCUCCUGGUGCCACCGGUUCCUCUUCUCAGGCCAGGCAGGGCCUCUCUCGUUUUCCAGGCUGACCCACCUGCCUCCCAGCUUAAUCUCACCAGACACUGGUCCCCACGGAGGGGUGGAUGGAGAGCCUCCUCACAUCAAGUCAGAACUCAACUGCUAACAAUCACCCACACACAACUUCACAGGUGAUUCCCCAGCCUCCAACCUUCUCUGUCCCACAUCUGUUGAAAGGAGAGGAAUCAGAGGUUUCCCUUCUGGCUUUCCUCCCCAGGAAUCGGUUCAUAGGAGAUGCUGAACCCGACAAUGAACAUCAUGAGUUUAUUCACAGACAGAUGUGUAACUGCACACACUAGAUUAAGAGAAAACACAUGCUGAUUAGCUUUCUAAGCACAAGAACUGAAGGACAGUUGUUUGGUGUCUCUAAAAAAGCUAUACAAAAAAAGAUGAACUCAUGUUCUUGCGUGAAUUAAACUGACUUCGUGAGCUCUGCAGAGACACGUUAACCUGUGCUGUUCCCCUGGAAUCAGGGCAGCCAGGGCUCAGCCUGACGGGUGCUGCCAAAAGCCCUGAUGGCACAGGGUCAGAAGACCAUAGGAUGGGGCCCCAAGAGGCCCAGGGCAGUGGCCCUGAUGUCUCCUCAGAUUGUCCCAAUGCUAGGAGGAGGACUGACUUUAUUUUUAGUUAGUUUUGAACUGAAGACAGUGAUCCAGGCCCGGGAAGGAUGCCAUAUGCGGAAUGAGAGCAUGAAGAAGCAAAGCAGAGCAGGGGCUUGUCACCGGGUGAGACGUAUCCGGAUGGACCGGCCCUGAAGUCGGGAUGGAGCAAGGGGUAAACGUGCCAUGAAAGAUCCCACAAAACAGGACUCACUUCAUCAGAACAGACAGACACCAGCUUCUUCCUGACUUCCAAACAUGGAACUGUCACGCAAAUACAAGUUGGUUAAAACACUGCUAAACAGCACAUACGGAAACAAUACCUUACUCGUCACUCCCUAUAAGUACAUACUCCUUUUACCAACCUUGUUUUUAAAACCAGGAAAAAUUGUUAAAACAUCUAUGCAACAGUGAUGUUUUCAAAAUUAUAUACACCUAGUAGUCCAGAGAAUGCUCAUUCUGAACCCAGUGUCAGCACCAUCAAAGUGCAGUGUCUGUGACUGCAAAUUAGGCAAAAAUUUAAAAAUACAGUACUUUCUGAGGCCUAGGGACUAGCUCGUGAUACAUUUUAAAGCAUCUGUGGCAGACAGGCGUGUCCUCAAGCGCCUUCCUUUAAGACAGGCACAGAGUUGCCACUGGUUACACAUAAGUGCAUUUUGCAUCACUGAACAGGUAUAUAAUAUUCCCAUCAGAAGGUAUAUAGGAAGUUUAAAAGCUUCAGUUUUACAAAAAUUGCUAAAAAAUUUUUUUGCACUUCAGUUUUAAUUUUUAAAUGUGCCACUUUUAACAUCAAUUACAAACUACUUUCUGACUGCAUUACUCAGCCCUAAGGAAGAACUUAAGCUUUAGGGAUUGUAUCCCUUCUCUGAAACCGCACAUUUCACUCGGAAACGCCCCCGCACAAGCACAACACCUACUAAUUCUCCAUUCUUCGUCAUCGGAAUUUGCAAGAGCCAUUCCCGGUGUGAAGCCUCAAACCCAAUGGUGUUGACCACGAACCAAAAGAGACUAGUUUCGGUCCCACAGCUGGCAUCGGCGUUCUCGCGGGGGUCGGGUCAGAGCAGAGUGCUGGGAAGGUUGCUGCUCUGCCAGCGCAGGCAGGUGGUCUUCGAGUGUUUGUACAGGUGGCUGGACUGACUGAACCUCUUGCCACACUUCAGGCAGGCGUAGGGCUUUUCACCUGUGUGAACACGGAUGUGCUUCUUGCAGUCUGUCAAGGUCAGGAAAGUCUUGCAGCAGAUUUUACAGGCGUACUUGCGAGCUCCCUCUACAACCAAGACGUUGUGCUCUGAUAAGGCCUUCUUGCACUUUGACAGGACGUCUGCAGAUGCCCUCGUCAGCUGCGGGGGGCCGGGCUGCGAAGGAUGGCCACUUUCAAAGGAGGACGUGGCCGUGUUCAUCAUUAGCUGGGAGCUGGCAGAGUUCUCUGGGAUCUGGGAGCUCCUGACAGAGGUGACCACUGGCAUUUUGGGAGCUAUGCGGCGAUAGUAUGGAAAGUUACUGGCUCCUCCCCUUGGGGAGCCCAUCAUUACCCUGGAGAAGGAGGAAUGCAGCCCCAAACCAGACCUGGAAAAAUCCAUCCCAAACUGUUCUCCUCCUUGGUAACCCGAGGUCUGCACACACGGCAGGCCCAUCACUUCCUGCAUGGGCCUGACAAAGUGCGAGUCCGCGGGCUCGCUGAACGGGUUCUCCACGUGAGAGCCAGGGGCCGAGGGGGGCCCGCCCGCAGGCCCAGCCUCUGGACUCAACAAAUAAGGGGCCUCCCCCUCCAGCCUGCAGUCACUAGUGGUGUUUGGGAUAUUAUCAUCAUUACUCUGAUUUGCACUAAAGUUACUUCCUCUGCUCUUGUUAAGAAAAUUUGAAAUGCUAAAAGUAGAUUUAUGUUCUAGGUUGUUUGUAACUUCCAAAAUAUGGAUGUCCCCUACCCGGUCAGUGCUAGACUGGGGAUCUGAGAAACUCCGGUCGCUGCUCUCGGGGCUGAGGUCUAUCUUCUCGGCACUGACCACCACUCCCUCCACUUCCACCGACUCGCUGCCUUCCGCUUGGGAGGUCACGUCGCUCACUUCAUCCUGAGGCUCAGGAGAGCUCAGGGGCUCGGAUUUAACCACCACUCUCAUGUGCUCCUUCUCACCAAGGCCAACCUCAGGGUUUUCACACUGAAAACUACUUUUCUCAGCUGCGGCUUCCUGCUCAAAAGUAGUCUCAACCUGGGUGGCGCGGGAGGCCAUGGACAGCUGGGCCAUGUUGCCAGCGCUGUUGUCGGACUGGCUGGGCACCUGGGCAUCUUCUUGAGCACCGAAGGACUGGUCGAACAUGAUGGCGCCAUCUUCCUGGUUGUUGGUCAUCCCGUCAGCCUUAGGGUUAUCCACAAUUUUCAGAGAAUCUGGUGAAAAGAACUCCUCCCGAGAAUGAACCCCUGGCGGCCCAUUCUCUGGCGCCACGUCGGAGAUGGCCGACUCAUCCAGGGCGGGCCGGAGGCGCUGUCUGGCCCGCUCCUCUGCAGACUGCUUGCGCUUAUGCAGGCGUCUCAUGGGGAAGGGUGUCCGCGGGUCCAGGUUACUGCGCAUCGAGGAGCUGAUGGGGGCUGGCUGCUCCUCGCCACCCUGGCUGGAGCUGAGGGCCGAGCUGACGAUGCUCAGUCCCAGCUGCUGCAGCAUAAAGGAGCGCUGCAUGCGGGCGCUCUGCUCCUGAAUGCGCUCGCUAGGGGGAGACAUGGGCAGCGUCCUUGUCGUUAAGUAAUGUUUACAUGCCUUAACAACAGAGUUCAGGUGCAGGUGAGAGGCUGCCAAUAAGACAUCCAUAACGUUGCUCUCCCCCAGCAUGAGGGUGGAGGUAUACAUCAUGUCAAUCAGUGCGGCAAAGGCCUCCGCUGUCACUACCUCGCUGUCCAGCUGGAUCAUGUUCAUGGUCUGAUCUCCCUCUGCCACUGAGAACAGGGCUCGGAAGUGCGUGCUGCACGCUGCCAGGACGGAGCGGUGGGCUUUGAAAUGUCUGUUCCCCACUACAAUGACACAGUCACAGAGCUGGCUGUGAAGCCUCUGGUAGUUCAGCUGCUGGAAGAUCUGUUCAAAGUGGCCAGGAAAAUCCAUGAUCCUAGGAGCAAAACAAAGUGUCAAGACUUAGAAAAGCUUAAGUCAGAGUCAGAGCACAGAAAGUGUGAUGAAAAGAAAGGCGUGAGUGGCCAGGACUGAACCUUUUAAAGCUUGUGAUGUUUCUGAUGGUGGGCACACAGGCUACAAACCUGUCAAAUGAGAAGCAAAUGCUGGUUCAGCUGACAGCCCCGGAAGCACGCACACAAGCGGAUCAGCUACUGGCUGUUCCCUUAGAGACCCACUCUUAUCACCCAGGGCCCGUGUUAGAAGACCAAAGUGGGGUGAAACAGUAUCUACCCCAGAGAAGUCAGAGUCCUGCAUUCCCUCAGGACAACAAAGAAACUCCAGGAAAUUCCAGAGUCUUUUAGAAACCUAAAAUAAAUAAAUGAAAAGGGCAAAUCAAUAUUAGUGGGGACAAUUUCCAGUUAGAGGUGGUAGCAGACUGCACACACGACAUUUACCCCAGACCCUGCUCCUGCUCACUCCUGAAACCCCAUUAACAAGACAGUAAAAAAUUUUGGGGGGGGUUUUGUCGUUUUAAAGGUAAAAACUCACAAGGAAAAAAAAGAAUGGGAAAGAAAUAUCCACAGCAUUUUGGAAGCUGGUGAGCAGGUGAACAAAUGAGUGCUGACUGACUCAGCACAGCCAGAAAGCAGAAUCCUAAACUGGCAGUGAAUAAAACACUGACUUAUAUACAACACCCCCUCAAAGGCUCAGGAACUCCUUGCCAAGGUGCCAGGGGAAGUGGAGUGAAGAUGAUGCCAAGACAAGAGGACUGGCUGGAAGUACAGUCAGUAAAAAAAAUAAUCUAAUGGAAGUUCCACACCGGUGGCACAGAAAAGAUUAAAUUUAGAGAGAAAGACCUGGGGCUGACGGUGAGCCCAGGGAGGGACUGCAAAUGGGAAGAGGGACUUUAGGGGGCAUGAUGGGAAUGUUCUAAAAUUAGAUUAUGAUGAUUAUACAUCAAAUUUUCUGAAAAUAUUUGAAUUGUACACUUAAAACAAGGUAUUUUAUAGUAUGUACAUUAUACCUCAACAAAACUCAAUAAUUUAAACUUCAAAAAAAAAUAAUAGAGAAAGAGAAACAAGAUGAACAAAUUUCAGAACCACCUCCUCAGAGUCCAUUCUGAACGGCAGGACUUCUGUGAAGCCAACGAGACUGACUGCUGGGGAUAGCGCACAUCUCUCUGAUGACAGUAAGGAGUCACUGGGUGUUUUUCCCCUUAGGUGUGAUAAUGGCAUUCUGAUUUUCUUUUUUUUCAAAAGAGUAUUUUUUUAAAGAGAGAACAUACUGAAAUGCUUACAGAUGAAAUGACAUGAGGUCUGACAUUUGCUUCAAAAGUUUAUUUUUUAUACAUUUGAAAUUUUUCAUAAAUGUUAAAAUUUAAAAAGGGGAAAAAAGAAGAGUCCACAUGGCCUAUGGGUGGAUCACUUUCCAAAGUGGAGUUUGUAACCAUUAAUCAUCUGCACAUUUUCAUCCUCUGGACUAGUCAGAAACAAGAAUUGCUUACUCUCUCCAAAAAAACUGCUACACUUCCUAAGAACUACGUGACUGCUGACUCAAAGUCUCUGUAUCCUUCACUUGUGCUCAUGACAGAUUCUCAUUAUGUGGUUGGAAAACAGGGUCGGUAGCCCCAAAGAGGCGCUCCUCUGUGCCCUCCACCCACCAACUCUGCAGAAGCUGAAAGAGCCACAGAGUUUAAAACCGUGUUCCACCCUCUCCAGAGGAGGAACCUCUGGUGUUCUGGGAGGGGGUGAGGCAGAAUCUAAUUGUUAAACCCCAGAAUACAAAUGCAUGCAGAUGGAAGAUCUAGUGUGCCUGGCACUAGAGAUAAAAUGAUCCAGUGCCUGCCCUCAGGGGGAACAGACUAAUGAACAUUCAAAUACAAGAAGGUAUUAUAAUGCUGUGAUAGGAAGUAUAAGAUGCUACAGGGGACAAGGAAGGGGCACCUGCCUCUGCCAGGGGUGGGAGAGGGAGUGUGGAAGGCCUUCUGCGGGCAGAGGUCUCUGGCUGGGUUUGGGUGGCUGAAAAGGCGAAACUGUACUCGGGACACCACGUGAGCGCCUGAGGCUGGGAUGAGCUGCUACAGCAACAGCUGGAGCAUGAAGUUAAAAGUCUGCACCAGAAGGUGAGCUGCUUCCCCUCACCCCGCCCACCAGCAGAAGGCUGGCAGCCAGGCUCUAGGUCUGGGGAGCCCCUCCAAUGGAACACCUGGGUCCCCAUCAAAUUUGCCUGUAGUGAAGCCCAUAGUCCUCAGGGCCCAUUCACUCAGUUUCCAAUCACGCACUGCUUCACUCCUAAGUCUGAGCAGUCAGGAGCACCACAAACUGGAGGGGGAAACACCUCCAUCAUCAUAAAGACAAGGCCCUAAACAAACAGGCAUCUGGAAGAAACAGAAACAGUGGGGCAAGGGGCAGGGGGGAACUAAGGGGGAAAAAUACCUAUAAUGUAACAUCCUCAGAGAAAUAGGAUACCAUAUCCACAGAACAAGAAGAGAGUAUGUUUUUAACAUUUUUAAAAAAUGGAAUAUUCAGGAAAUAAGGAAAUUAUUAAAAAUUUAAAAUUGCAAAAUUUUUUUAAGUUACUAGAAGGGUUGGAAGAUAAUAUGGUUGAGGAAAUUUUCACACACAAGGCAAAGGAGAAAUAAAUGUGAAUGAAUAAGAAAAAAAAGAUUAAUUAAUGAAAUCCAGGAUCUGAUUACAGAAAAAGAAAAGAAAAUGGGGAAAGUGAUAAACAACAUAAGAAAAAUUCCAAGAACUGAAGAAGUUACUUAUUCAGACUAAAAAGGCCCGCCAAGUGCUCAGCAAUAUGAAUGAACAAACCCCCACACCUGGCUCAUUACAGUGACAUUUUGAAACACCUGGAUAAACUCCUGAAAGUGUGUUGGGGGCCGGGGGCAGGCAGACAAUGAAUCGGGGAUAGAACUGGCAUUAGACUUUUCAAAAGCAAUAUCGAAAAGUAAAAAGUGACAUUCCUUUAAAGUUCUCCAAGAAAAUUAUUUCCAACUUAGAUCAUAUCCAGCCAAACUAGUAAUCAAUUGUGAGGGGAGACCAAGGCAUUUUCAGACAAACAAGAACCCAAAUGUUUACCUCCCACAUACCCUUUCUCAGGCAGCUACUAAAGGUUGUGCUUAAUGAAGCUGGGAAUAAACCAACAAAAGGAAGACAAAGAUUAUAGGACGUAGAGACUUAGCCUAGAAAACAGGCAAAGAGAAUUUUAAAGAUGGUGAUGAAGCUCAAGAUGACGGCUAGACAGCAGGGCUGGGGAGCAGCCAGGUCAGACUGAAGCAGGACUGGGGGACUCCAAGAAGGAGCUCCUCAAAGGAAAAAAAUAGAAUGGAUAGAUCACAUGGAAUGGCUGAGAGUUCUAAGAAGUUAACAGUUCUAUAAAAAUGUGAAGAUAGGUCAUAAAACAAGAAAAAUUUUAAAUUAACUCCAGGAAAAAUAAAUGGUUGUUUAGUCGCAGUGUACUAUGUGGUUUGUUUGUAGACAAUGUUUACAGAAUCACAAUAAUGUGAACACAAAUUUGAGAUAUUGGAAGGGUAGGGGAAGGCCAGUUUGCAUGGGCAGGGGUGGUGUGGGGUGGAGUUGGGGGGAACUGGAGGAGAAGUGGUGUUAAGAAAGUUAAAUUCUCACCUUCCCUAGUAGUCAAGAAAUACUGUCUGAAAUACUACCUCAAGAAACAGUCAUAUAAGCAUGUUACUUGGAAGUACAGAAGUCAGCAGUGGAAGAAACAACUGAAACGAGUGGAAGUGGUUGCCUCUGAGGAGGGGGAAAUUGGAGGGGAAAAGGAUGGAAGAGAGAACCGCUAUUUUUUUAUCUCUAAGCAAGCCUUAUGGAACUAUGUGGCUCUUAAAACAUAAAUAUAUAUACACAUUAACUUUUAUAAAAUGAAAUUUUAAAAAACAUGGUAGAUCCUUGACAUUCUAAAGGCAUACACUCUGAGAUCUUUGCACAUCUCCAAAUUCAUGAACACCACUGUGGCACUUCACAAGGAUUCCUGCAAGCAGAGGGCAACGUGGAUGCCACGCAGCACACCAGGCUCACCCACUUGCUCUCGGGGCCCCACCAAGUUAUGAUUCAGUGAAAUGACAAAUGACCACAGAACACAUACCUUCAGGAUCCCUGGGAAAUAACUAAAAGAGCAAACUCUAAACCCAUUAAAAACCAAGGGUCUACGGUGCCAACUCAUAGGUCUUUGCUGUACCUGCAAAGUAACAGAGUAAAAUGCCUCAAAGCAGUGCCACAUUAGCCAUAUUCUUUUACCUCCUAUUUUUAUUCUGCUUUUGAAGAGUUUCCAACAACAAGAUAUAUCACUGAAACACAUACUUUCCCACUGUCACCUUGCUUUCUCAACCUUCCCCACUAGGAGUAAAGGGUCACCCAUGGCAAGCACAGCACAUGCGCCCCUGACCCCGACCUGCCUCAAUCAGGGACCGCAGAGCUCAAGGCUUUGGGGAGAUUAAACAAAAUGCAACUACUGCUCACAGUAAUUGGAAAAAAACCCGCAUAUCCUAUCAACAGCUAAGAGCCUCUCCAGGGAGACGGAAACUGCCAGGCACUUAGGCUCUCCGGGUCCAGGCAUAAUGUGAUGCCAGUCACUCAAGGACAAUUCUCAAGAGUCACGGACACCAGCCAUCAGAGGAAAAGCUUCACUCAAAGCUGCAUAACUAGUGCACAGAACUAGUAAAAGCAAUCAAGGGGACCUGGUCAGAGCACAGACAGUAUCUGCUACAUACACUUGGUGACACUGAAGAAGAAAGUGAUGUGUAACCACAUGGAUAAAACAGAUGAUACUGUCUGUUAGUAAAGGAUAUUUUUAACCCAGCCACCACUCUGUAAGGAAGCCCAGCUGAAAUCUAGUUGACAGUCAACAGCUGCCUCCAUGACUUCGAGGUGACUUCGGCCCAGGUCAUGAUCUGACUACAACCACAUCACAGACCCCAAGAGAGAAUCAUCUGAGCCCAGUCAACCUUUGGAACUAUUAGAGAUAAUAAUAAAAUGUUUUGUUUUGUUUUAAGCCA